UACGGGGGGAGCAAGCGUUGUUCGGAUUUACUGGGCGUAAAGGGCGCGUAGGCGGCCGUGUAAGUCACUUGUGAAAUCCCGGGGCUCAACUCCGGGGCUGCAGGUGAGACUGCGUGGCUAGAGCACGGUAGAGGCGAGUGGAAUUCCCGGUGUAGCGGUGGAAUGCGUAGAUAUCGAGAGGAACACCUGCGGCGAAGGCGGCCAACUGGACGAAUACUGACGCUGAGACUCGAAAGCGUGGGGAGCAAACAGG
rnacentral:rRNA from 1 species